rnacentral:rRNA from 1 species
UACGACUACAUAUCAGGCAUAUCAAUAAGCGGAGGAAAAGAAACUAACAAGGAUUCCCUUAGUAACGGCGAGUGAAGCGGGAAGAGCUCAAAUUUGAAAUCUUCAAGGUUUUACCUUGACGAAUUGUAGUUUAAAGAAGUGUUUUCUGUUGGUGUUUUGGUAAAAGUUCUUUGGAAUAGGACAUCAUAGAGGGUGAGAAUCCCGUAUUUGACCAUUACUUCCAGCGUUGUGAUACACUUUCAAAGAGUCGGAUUGUUUGGGAAUGCAGUCCAAAAUGGGUGGUAAAUUUCAUCUAAAGCUAAAUAUUGGCGAGAGACCGAUAGCGAGCAAGUACCGUGAGGGAAAGAUGAAAAGAACUUUGAAAAGAGAGUUAAACAGUACGUGAAAUUGUCAAAAGGGAAGCGUUUGACACCAGUGUUGUUUUCUCGAAAAUCAAUUAAAAAUGGCCGGAUUUUGUGUUGUAUUGACCUUUAUCAAGCUUUCUUCACUUUUUUCCUGUCUUUUUUGAUGCACUUAUUCGUUUAACAAGUCAGCAUCAGUUUCUUUUGUUGUAAAAGAGUCAUUGGAAGGUGGCUUUCCUUUCGGAUGAAAGUGUUUAUAGCCUUUGACUUCUGCAAUCGGAGAGAUUGAGGUCUGCAGCGUAGAUCCUUCGGGGUUAGAUACGUAGAUGCUAAGUUAUAGUUUUUCAUAGACAACUUGUUGACUAUGAUUAAUCAUGUAGCUUACUCGUUUGCGCUAUUUUACCUACGCUUAGGAUGUUGAACGCGCACAGAGUCUC